GCCGGGCGCGGAGGGGCGUGCCUGGAGUCCCAGCUACUCCGGAGGCUGAAGCUGGAGGGUCGCUUGAGUCCGAGAGUUCUGGGCUGUAGUGCGCUAUGCAGAUCGGGUGUCCGCACUAAGUUCGGCAUCAGUAUGGUGACCUCCCAGGAGCGGGUGACCUCCCAGGAGCGGGGGACCACCAGGUUGCCUAAAGGGGGGAACUGGCCCAGGUCGGAAACGGAGCAGGUCAAAACUCCCGUGCUGAUCAGUCGUGGGAUCGCGCCUGUGAAUAGCCACUGCCCUCCAGCCUGGGCAACAUAGCGAGACCCCAUCUCU
rnacentral:SRP_RNA from 1 species